CACGUAGGGGGGCAAGCGUUGUCCGGAUUUAUUGGGCGUAAAGAGCUCGUAGGCUGUUCGAUAAGUCGGGUGUGAAACCUCCAGGCUCAACCUGGAGACGCCACCCGAUACUGUCAUGACUAGAGUCCGGUAGGGGGAGCGUGGAAUUCCUGGUGUAGCGGUGAAAUGCGCAGAUAUCAGGAGGAACACCAGCGGCGAAGGCGGCGCUCUGGGGCCGGUACUGACGCUGAGGAGCGAAAGCGUGGGGAGCAAACAGG
rnacentral:rRNA from 1 species